rnacentral:rRNA from 1 species
UGGGGAAUUUUGGACAAUGGGGGCAACCCUGAUCCAGCAAUGCCGCGUGAGUGAAGAAGGCCUUCGGGUUGUAAAGCUCUUUUGUCAGGAAAGAAAUCGCCCUGGAUAAUACCUGGGGUGGAUGACGGUACCUGAAGAAUCAGCACCGGCUAACUACGUGCCAGCAGCCGCGGUAAUACGUAGGGUGCAAGCGUUAAUCGGAAUUACUGGGCGUAAAGCGUGCGCAGGCGGUUGUGCAAGACAGAUGUGAAAUCCCCGGGCUUAACCUGGGAACUGCAUUUGUGACUGCACGGCUAGAGUGUGUCAGAGGGGGGUAGAAUUCCACGUGUAGCAGUGAAAUGCGUAGAUAUGUGGAGGAACACCGAUGGCGAAGGCAGCCCCCUGGGAUAACACUGACGCUCAUGCACGAAAGCGUGGGGAGCAAACAGGAUUAGAUACCCUGGUAGUCCACGCCCUAAACGAUGUCAACUAGUUGUCGGGUCUUAAUUGACUUGGUAACGCAGCUAAC